UUCCAAAUAUGAACCUGGCCUUCCAGUCUUGGGUUCUUUUGAAGAGCUCUAAAAGGGUGACAGUACUGAUGACAUAAAUGGGCAGAGUAGGACUGAGUGGGACGGGAAAAUCUGCAGCAUAAGGUCAGUUUCACUUUGAUUCUUUAUUGGCCUCAGUUUGAAUGACCAUCCAUCCAAUCAAGAUUGCAACCUGGAGUGACCUUGCGCAUUUUGCUCUUACUCAGCUGCUGUUUUAAUAGCCUAUACCUAUGGCUAUUGAGUCAGACACGACUGAGUGUGCACACACACAUAGAUGUUGUCAGUCUGUCUCAAAUCGUUUUUUUUUUUUUUUUUUAAUCUAAUGAGCUUUUGCUUUUUGCUCUUUUAUUUCACAUUCUGUGGUCAUAAUUUAAUGUCUUUUCUUGAAAGCUAUUAAUCACUCUCACUCAGCUCUGGUGUCACAUGAAUUUAAUGACUUGCCAAACCCACAUCAAAGUAAAAGGGAUAAGCUUUCCACACUAACAUUUGAAUGAAGUUCCCCUCAUUAGAAACAUUACAAAUACAGGCACCCUCAAAGAGUCGGAAAACAAGGGUACAAAUCCCAGCUUGACCUCUUUCUGGCUAUCUGAUUGUGAACAAUUAUGUGGUGUUUCUGGGACUCUGCUUCCUAAGCUAUGGGAAGGUUGGCCUUUUCAGAGGGUCUCAACCUAUGGUUUCUGAGUGAUAUUUAGAGGGUCUGUGGGCUCUCCUAAAAUUAUAAUACACUUAGUUAUUCUGUCUAUACAUGUACCCUCCUACCCCUCGCCAAGAGGAUCCAGUGCCUCCUGUACAUUCUCAAAGGCAUGCAUGACCAAAAGAUUGAGAACUCUUGAGCCAGAUGGUCUUUGAGAAGACUCUGGAGGCAAAGUGUAUAAUAUGCAAGUUUUCAAAAAUCAUUGUCUUUAGCCUUCUAAAAAUCAAUUUGCAAAACCUAUCAAAACUUCCAAAAUGAGGACUGUAAACUGCUUGCUCAGAGGCAGUGGGCAUCCUGGUCUCCCGGCUGCAGAAACCCAGUAAUGGAAAGAAUCCUAAAUCAGGGUAGCAAGAAGUUCUCUGGUGUCAGGCUAAGGGAUUUGGAGUUAACUUUUCAGAUGGGAAGACUUACUGACGGUUUUGAGGAGAGAGGUGACUCAAUGAAAGCAUUAAUUGGAGGAAGAACAAAUUAGAAUCCAUGCAGCAAAUGACAGAGAAAGAGCCUGAGGAUGCUGGACCAAAGGAACCCUCUUACAGGUCAGCAUUUCCUCCACUGUUUCUGGUUACUCUAAUGACCUGAGACAUAUUAAUAGGUGUUCCCCCAGAAAAGAGGUGCUGUAGCCAAUAAUCUAAGAAAAUGCUGAGUUAGGAAGUAAGGUUUUCAUCACGUGAUUCUCAGAACCUCUAAUAGAGUUCUACCGAACACAGUAUUUUUCCAUUUUUAAUUGCCCAUGACCCUCCUCACCAAUGCCACAGUUGAGUUCUGACAGUGAAGAGCAUGAGCUAUGAUAGGCAAUGGAAAAAUGCUACUGCUGCCACUGCUAAUGAGCACUUCGUAAAUCACAUUUGUUAAAAUACUUCAUGGCUUUAAGACUUGGAUUGCCACCCACAGGACAGCUGUUAUAAAGUUCUUGACCUGCAGCUAAAAAUCUAUUUUAUCUUUUCUAUACUUUUAAAUUUUAAUUUUUCACUCAAAGUCUUGGGGAUACAAAGGUAGAAAACAUCACUUGCCAUCUGCUGCUACUACCUUGUUGGGAGGACAGAUAACUGAUCAGACACUGCCUACACUUGAGAGGCAGACCCAGAAGCGUCAUUGAAAUCACCCAGAAAGGACAUUUAUUCCGACUUUGAGGGCUUGGGGAUUAGUCUCAAGAUGAGAGGAUAAAUAAGUCACAAGUUGAAGGGUUAGCCAGAAACUUGCCAGGAUGAAAAAGAGAAGAAACAAGAAAGUCUGUGCAAAGCCUUGGAAGUAUGAGAACUGGGGAAAGGUGAGCAGUUCUCUGCUGUCAGAAAAUGGACUAAAGUCAGAAAGUUAGAAAGAUGACACUGGUCAAGUCCUGAAGAGUUACUACAUCAAGUGCUCUAUGUGCUAGGUCAAAGAAUUUUGAAGAUACAUCUAUGGUAGAAUUUUCAACUAAGAACAUACUAGACUUAUAUUUUAGAAAGGUCAUUCUAAGUCUUUAAGACUCUAUUUCCUCCCUAUAAAGCAAGAAUCACUGCUUCUGAGGGCUAGCUGCCCGGCAAGCUUAGAUGCCAACACUACGGCACAAGAUUUUUGAGAAAAGAAAGAGCCUUAUUGAGAAGUCAACCAGCAAAGAGGCAGGGAGCAAGACUCUCAAUCUCCCAGAUCCAGUGUUUAGGGUGGAAUUUAAGGAGUUGGGC
ensembl:lncRNA